GAAUACAUGGAAAAUGGUGAUCUCAAACACUACCUUGAGGAACAGAGACCAGAGUACAGCAAGUGUGGCGCGAGAAUCUUGUGUCACAUGAUCUAAUCGUUGUUUUUGAUAGGCGUAACGGACAGUGUUGCUUUUGGGCUUUAAGAAAACGCUACUGAAAAUGUUUCGUGAUAUCGCAAAUGGAAAGGAAUAUUUUUCACGCAAGUAUUUUGUUUACAGAGAUUUGGCUGCAAAAAAACAUUUUAGUGAACAAAGAGCUGACUUGCAAGAUUGCAGAUUUUGGCAUGGCACGUGACGUGUCUGACGACAGCUGCUACACGACAAAAAGGCGAGAAAGUCUCAAUAAGAUGGCUUUGAAUUAUAACCAAUAUUCGUCUGCCAGUGACGUGUGAAGCUAUGGAAUUGUCCUCUUUGAAGUGUGGUCAUUAGCACUACGUCCUUACAAUCAGAUGACAAACAACGAGGUUGCUAUUUGUGGUCAAAAGCAAUCGCAAAAUAAUUUUUUACAAAUAGCAGUUAUAUAAUCUGAAAGACUGUUUUACGACACAGGUGAUAAAUAGGGUUGAUCUUGGAUAUCGCCUUCCUCCCCUCCGGGAUGUUCUCGUUCUCUUUAUCAUCUCAUGAUUGACUGUUAGUGAGUGUACAGACAUAAUAUGUAGGUCCUGGUUGUGCAAUUAAUUACUACUGUGUUCUCUGCGGUCAGGCAUCCAUAUUCCGAUGAAGACUGAGUUUUGGAAACAUCGUAGAAGCUUCGACUGUCUGACGAAUUUCUUUUGACUAACAGAGAAGAAGAGGAAGGGAUUGAAGGAAACCUCGGAGACAAGCUGGACGUGUCAGAAAACUGCUACACAGACUUGCAACACAUCUAUACAAAAUACUUAUUGUGAAACAUCGUAUAUAAACUGGUACGCAAUGUGUGAAUGGAUCUUGUAAAACUUUGCUAUUUUUGCUACUGAAUAAUGGGCACUAAAACUAACUAGUGCACUAUUGGUAUUGUAUCUACAAUUGGACAUUAUCCAGUUGAAUGAAUUAUUCGUUUAGUUUGCCGAUUAGCUUGAUUUUUGCUAGAAAAGUUUGCAUUUUACGACAACCUAUUACAUCGAAUGAUGAUUUUGA